UCUUGUCAUUGUGUGCCCGCAGCCGCGGUAACCCGUCGGUCCCCCGCGUUGUCCGGAAUUACUGGGUGUAAAGGGAGCGCAGGCGGGAAGACAAGUUGGAAGUGAAAUCCAUGGGCUCAACCCAUGAACUGCUUUCAAAACUGUUUUUCUUGAGUAGUGCAGAGGUAGGCGGAAUUCCCGGUGUAGCGGUGGAAUGCGUAGAUAUCGGGAGGAACACCAGUGGCGAAGGCGGCCUACUGGGCACCAACUGACGCUGAGGCUCGAAAGUGUGGGUAGCAAACAGG
rnacentral:rRNA from 1 species